rnacentral:rRNA from 1 species
GUCACGCCCGGUCCCAUUCCGAACCCGGAAGCUAAGUCCACCAGCGCCGAUGGUACUGCACUCGGGAGGGUGUGGGAGAGUAGGUCGCCGCCGGCA